rnacentral:pre_miRNA from 1 species
UGUCUCCACACUGCAAGUGGAGCUGUAUACGAGCAUGUAUCACUUUGGCGAGAAUGUAGCGCCAUCUAGAGAGAGCAAGAGCCUGAGUGAAGCUCACAUAAACAAYAGCCUGUUGCAGAAGUGGUGCAAGAAACAKGAUAAGUUCAUCGCCAAGUGCCUAAAGAGUAUCAAGUCUYUGAAGGCUAAGGUAAGCUGCUCCUCCUCCUCCACAGCUAUACCG